AUACGGAGGGUGCAAGCGUUAAUCGGAAUUACUGGGCGUAAAGCGCACGCAGGUGGUUUGUUAAGUCAGAUGUGAAAUCCCCGGGCUCAACCUGGGAACUGCAUCUGAUACUGGCAAGCUUGAGUCUCGUAGAGGGGGGUAGAAUUCCAGGUGUAGCGGUGAAAUGCGUAGAGAUCUGGAGGAAUACCGGUGGCGAAGGCGGCCCCCUGGACGAAGACUGACGCUCAGGUGCGAAAGCGUGGGGAGCAAACAGGAUUAGAUACCCUGGUAGUCCACGCCGUAAACGAUGUCGACUUGGAGGUUGUGCCCUUGAGGCGUGGCUUCCGGAGCUAACGCGUUAAGUCGACCGCCUGGGGAGUACGGCCGCAAGGUUAAAACUCAAAUGAAUUGGCGGGG
rnacentral:rRNA from 1 species